AGGAUGAGACUGCGUCUGAUUAGGUAGUUGGUGGGGUAACGGCCCACCAAGCCCAUCAUCAGUACGGGUUGUGGGAGCAAGAUCCCGGAGAUGGAUUCUGAGACAUGAAUCCAGGCCCUACGGGGCGCAGCAGGCGCGCAAACUUUACAAUGCGAGCAAUCGUGAUAAGGAAACCCUGAGUGCCUGUUGAUGCAGGCUGUUCAUUAGUUUAAAUUGCUGGUGAAGAAAGGGCAGGGCAAGACCGGUGCCAGCCGCCGCGGUAAUACCGGCUGCUCGAGUGAUGGCCACUAUUACUGGGUUUAAAGCGUCCGUAGCUUGAUUGUUAGGUCUCUUGGGAAAUCUUCAGGCUUAACCUUAAGGCGUCUAAGAGAUACCGGCAAUCUUGGGACUGGGAGAGGUAAACCGUACUUCGGGGGUAGGAGUGAAAUCUUGUAAUCCUCGAGGGACGACCUAUGGCGAAGGCAGUUUACCAGAACAGCUUCGACAGUGAGGGACGAAAGCUGGGGGAGCAAACGGGAUUAGAUACCCCGGUAGUCCCAGCCGUAAACAAUGUGCGUUAGGUGUAUCGGCAACCACGCGUUACUGAUGCGCCGCAGAGAAAUCGUGAAACGCACCACCUGGGAAGUAUGGUCGCAAGGCUGAAACUUAAAGGAAUUGGCGGGGGAGCACCACAACAGGUGGAGCCUGCGGUUUAAUUGGAUU
rnacentral:rRNA from 1 species